GUUAUUAUAAGAAAUCAAAAAUGGGAAGAACCAUACCUUCUUCCUAAAGUGAAUUUCUGUAUUGUCCUUCCAGUCUUUGGCAGAGGUAGUAGCAAAAGAAGCAACAGCAAUCUCCACUCCACUUGAUAAUGUUCCUUUGAACAAUUUCCCAAUGGGGCAAGAUCCAAUGACAUUACUAAAAUCUUCACAUGCAGCUUCAAUCUCAGAUCUUUUAAGUACAGGUAUACCUGAGCAUCAAAAAAUCACACAUUGAUGAAACCAAAGUAAGUGCACUAGCCAAAACAUUCUAUGUUAUGUAACAAUUUAAGAAAGGAAAUUACCAGUAACGAAUACUUUCUGAGUUGUCCACUAAGACCAGUACGCCAAGGAUUCACAGUUUUCCCGGCCUUACUAGUGAAAAAGUAGAGACCGGUAGCUACAAGGAGAAGAAAAAAGGCACCGCCUACGCAGCCAACUACUAAAGGAACAGCCACUGAAGAAGAAUGAGCGUUUCUUGGAGUGGAAGGAUUUACAAGUGACACAGAAGGUGAAGGUGAAACAUCUUGUGUAGAUGAUCUCUUUUGUGGCUCUGGAACUGUUGAAGAUUUAGUUGAAACAUGUUUAGGAGAAGGUUGUGGUGACGAUGAUGGUGUUAUAGUUGCAGCCACAACACGGUUUUUGCGGUCUUUUCUCGAAGGUAAAUCUUUGUAAGGGUAACGGACAAGUGUUUUCCUGUGAAAUCCAAAAGCUUUCCUAUCAAAAGGUAGAAAACGAAAUUGAAGCCAUUGCCAAAACAUGCUCUAAAAUAAAGAUCAAAAUAUAGUAAGUUACAGUAUAUAGUUUAUAAGCAUGAUUAAGUGUCGGUUACAAAUUGUGAAAUAAAUUUGUAGAUCUCUACCAACCCCGUUGGCCGUUGGGACUUUGAUGCUAUAGAUGAGUUCUAUAAAGGUGAUAUGCCAGAUUGGCCAUCGAAUGAUGAUAAGUUACAGUUCUAUGAGGUGAGGUGUUACUUUGACUCAUCUUCUUUGAUGAUAAGUUUCAAUUUCUUUUGAUUCAUCUUCUAUGAGCUCGAGGUGAUCUGUUUUGACUUGUCUUUCUUCAACUAACUUUAGAUGUUUAAAAAUGUAUAGGUGAAUGAAUCAGAGUUGCGAGACAAUGAAUGGCUUCAUCUAUAUGCUGAAGUUGCAUUGUUCUCCGAGUGGGAAUCUGACAUGGUGAGGAUAUUAAAAGCAUAUAGAUAUGUGAGCUUAGGACAUUCUUUUCUCAAGUCGAGCAAUGCAAUCUUCUACAUGAGUUUCAAGGUUCGUGAAGGUCCCGAUUGCAGAGGUAUAAUAAGAAAAACAAGUGAUGGAAGAACAGGACAUAUGCGCCUUGAAGCUAGAUGUUGGAUCGACAAGUAAAUACGAUGGUGGCUAGUAUUUCGAUAUUUUGUGGAUUAUCUUGCAAUGUUUAAGUAAUUUACGGCAUGAUUCAUUUAUUUAUGCAUGGUAAUAAUAUAGUUACUUAACUUGAAGAGGACAAGAAACUUGGAUUUUACUAGAUAACUACAAAAGACACGUAUAAAACUCAGCUUUUGUUGGUGAAUGGCUCUCUUCUUACGCCGUAGACAAGACCUCCAAUUCUGGCCACCAAAGAGGUGAGAACUUAGACGUUGCAUCGUUAGCCGUGAUUUCCCAUAACCAACCGUGACUUCUUGCAUUCUCGAUCUUCUUAUUAUAAGAUUCUAGUGUUGGCCAGAGUGUCUCUCCUAUUAAAAAAUCAACCAGGCCCCUAUCUACCGAGUCGAGUUUGUUAACCGAUUCCGGGAGUUUCCCGGUUAUCAUUUCAAAUAAUAAUAAACCAUUUUUGUCAAUUAGGCCUGUGAGCUUUUCUUUUAAAAAAAAAAAAUAGUGAUUUUGAAUUUGGAUUUAAAUAUUGACUCAUAAAUCUUAAUUGAACCGGGUUGUGACAUGCUUAACCCGGACUCGGUUAUAUGGGCGAUUCCCGUUUGAACCGGUCGGUGUUAAAUCACUAUUCAUUUGUCUUAACCAUCAUUGAUUGAUUUGGGGUUAAAAAGGAAAUUGGGGUCUAUUUACAUUAAACCUAAAAAAAAAUCAAUUGGGAAUAGACAAACCCUUGUCGGCUUGUCGUGUCCGUCCAGCAAAACUUAUCAGACUCUCCCAAUCAGUUUGGAAGUAGAAGACGACUGUUCACCGGAAAGAUGUAUGAUGUGAUGUUGGAUGAAGCGAACUUGUGGUUUCACGAAUACGAACCUCCUCUCCGUAGGCGGAAGAUCGAAGAAGCUCCACCUUCACCUGUGGAAGACCUUUAUUUCUCCGACGAAGAAGACAUGAGUCCCGAGGAACGCGAAAAGUAUCGUCUUCAAGUUGUUGAGUCCUGUGUAAUUCUCUUUUAACUCUUUUCAAGUUUUGACGCUUACAAGAUUUGUGCUUUCGUAUCAUACAAUUGAUUUUUGGAUUUUGGUAAUUAGGGAUUCGAUGUUGAUUUCUUCAAGCAUACGUUUAAUGGGAUAAUGCCAAGUGGAUGUUGUCCCUAUGACACACUCUUCGCAAAGGCAGGACUCCAUUGUUACAAUCUUGAAAAGGUUUACUCUUUUCUUUUCUCUUUGAUAUUACUCUCUCCUCCUUGUGAGCUACUAUUGUAGAAUGUUGAUAUUCGUCACUGGUCAUUGUUUCUACCUUGUAGGGGAAGAACUUACAGUUCAAGACUGUAGUAAAAGUUAACGCCGAAAUCGGUUCCCUUUACAAUUCCUAUUCAACAUCUGAGGUGAUGGAUCCGGUUAACAACUCUCUUCACACUUUCCAAACUUUAGUCACGGAUGCAGGGAAGAUGAACAAAGCGCGCUUGAUACUUGUCACAAAAAUAUGCAGACUUAAGCCUCAAGUACCAGGUGUGGAAAGACUUUCAUGACUUGGUUUGUAAUUUGUCAUUAACGUUGCCAUGAAGAUUAUCAUACGCUUGUAAAACAUGGUUAAUCAUUUGGACAUGUUUUAGGCAUUGGAGAUGCAAAUGGCCGUUGGGACUUUGAUGCUAUAGAUGAUUUCUAUAAAGGUGAUAUGCCAGAUUGGCCACCGAAUGGUGCAUGUACUAAAGGUGAUAAGCUACUACAGUUCUAUGAGGUGAGGUGUUAGUUUUUUACUCAUUUAAUACAUAAUGUAAUCCAUCUUUAGUGUUUUUGCUUGUAUACAAGAUUAUCUUUUUUUCCAACUAAUUUUAGAUGUUUAAAACUGCAGGUGAAGGAAUCAGAGUUGCGAGACAAUGAAUGGAUUUCUCUAUAUGCUGAAGCUGCAUUGUUCUCCGAGUGGCACUCUGACAUGGUGAGGAUAUAAUAGCAUAUAGAUAUGUGAACAUAGGACAUCCAUUUCUCAAAAAACCUUUUUUUAAUUUGCAGAGUGCUUAUACACCAUUUGAGAUGAAGAAAGUAGUGGUACAAACAAAAGAAGAUGUAGACUCGAGUAUGAAGCUCAAGUCGAGCAAUGCAAUCUUCUACAUGACUUUCAAGGUUCGUGAAGGUCCCGAUUGCAGAGGGAUAGUAAGAAAAACAAGUGAUGGAAGAACAGGACAUAUGCGCCUUGAAGCUAGAUGUUGGAUCGACAAGUAAAGCUGAUAAUGACCAGUAAUCUGAUUUUGUGUGGUCUUUUUUUUAUGUAUUGAUCUUGCUAUGUUUAAAUGGUAUCUAUCUAUGGCAGAAGUAGCAAAGUUCGCACUACUUGUUUCCCUCUGGAUUUUUUUUUAUAAUUAAAAUGCUCUAUUUAAGAUGUGCGCUUUUAUCAACUAUCUUAUAUCUUGUUUCAAGGAAAUUACUUUGAUGUGCAAACACUUGAUGCGAUGAGAUAAACUAAAAGUGUUUUGCAAACGAUGCAGACAGUUGUUAGUAGCAAAAGACAAAAUCAAACUCUUGUUUUCACUUCACAAACACAGACUCAGUUGAGUUUACUAGCUCCAUGCCUUUUCUUCCGCCUCUCUUCCUCUUCCCGUGAGAGUAAUCUCGGAUAGCUGAAUCUUCUGAGCAAUGGACUUGGUUCAGCAAAGUAGGUAUUCGCCUUAGUGUUAAUCUCUUCACCCGGAGUGGGUACAUAAACAAGCAUAAUAUCUAUUGAGAUCUUCAUGUAACCGUUUUUUCCAAACUUAUCGCCAUGACUUGAUCUCGCCACUACGUAUUUUUCCCCAUUCUCCUCAUCUGCUGCUACUAGUGAAACGGCAUGCAGUCCAACGAGCCUUGACCUUUGAAGUACAGGCCCUCGAUAGAUCUUCAAACAAAAAACCAAACCAAUAUUAGCUUGCAUGAUAAAUUUAACACUGCAAAACAACGCAUAACUUACAUUUUCUCCAAUUUCAUUGUACUCUGGGAAAAACAUUGCCACAGCAGCUCCGAUGGGUUGGUGCUUAAGUUGGAGAAGCGCUUCCUCGAUUGUAUCUAUUCUCUUGAAGUCUUUGAUGUACCCUAAUCCCGAUAAGACACGAUCAGGAAUAUAUUGAGGACAUCCCGUGAAUGGUCUAUCUUCUUCUCUUUGAAUCCCAUUUUCCAUUACGUAACGCAUUCCUCUGUUGAUGCUUGAGGUGUAGCAGUAGUGACCGUCAUUGCGAACUUGUCUUCGCUGCACCGGAUCUGUAAAAUCAAUCAAAUCUUGCACAGAGUACUCUAUGUUAGGAUCUGUGUCACGACCGUUAAUCAAUCUCACUGCCCUUAUAAGAUCUCUUGCAACGACAGCCCAGCAAAUAUCUGAAAACAUACGAAAACAAACUUCGUUAACUAAAUUUUUUGUUAAGAAAAAUGUUAUAUGUUUUGUUCUUACCGUGAUCUAGUUGGUUUGCCACUAUCCCCAUAAUGAUUGCCCAAUCCACAUCAUCUAAGCAAACGGGAAAGAUCUGUACCUCAAAACAAAUAAGAAUUAUAAACAUAAAUUCAUCUAAAUUUCAUUACUAUUAACAAACGUACGAUAAAAUCUUAUACCCUGCGUUUGAUAUACGAUGCAAAUCUCACAUGCUUGAUAUCUCCACUUGAAUCGUCAAUGUAUUCGGUGACUUUAACUUUGGAAUCAGGUUUAGUUCUCAUUAUGCUUAAUAAAAUAUCAUGCGGAACGAUACGAAAGACCUCAGCCACUAAUGGUUGAAGUUGUGGGUCAGUCAAUGCUAAAAUCUGCUCAAAUAUGGGUAACAUUUCGUCAGGAACAGCAGCAAGCACCUGAAAAACAUCACAUUCGAAAUCCAAGAUUAAGAAUAAAACCGUGAAAGAUUAAGUGAGAUUUUAUACAGACAAUCAAGACCAGAAACAAAGACCAAACAUAUCUAACUAACUAUGUCUCUUCCAUUACCAAAGUAAACUUAACUACACCACAAAAAUCAACUUUUAUUAUCAUAUACUUACUACAUCACAUUCGAAAUCCAAGAUUUAGAAUGAACCCGUGAAAGAUUAAGUGAGAUUUUAUACAGACAAUUAAGAGCAGAAGCAAAGACCAAACAUAUCUAACUAUGUCUCUUUCAUCACCAAAGUAAACUUAAUUACACAACAAAAAUCAACUUUUUAUUAUCAUAUACUUACUUCUGCAGGUGUAGUGUCUGAGCUCUCACCUCUUUGUGCCAUAUUUGAAGUUAGGAUCUGCAUUUUAAAUUUUAGCAAAAACUUAGCAGACAAGUUUCAAAAAGACAAACAGAGUAAACCAACAGUUUCCAUUUAAGAAGUAAUACAAAAAAAAAACUAAGGACUACUUGUAGACAUAUAUAGAACAACAUAACAGAAAUGAACAAGGUAAGUUUCUUACUAGCCAGAAAGGCAGAAACCACUAGAAUCUUGUAACUUAAUUUCUCUGUUCUCCAAAACUCUCUUCCUUUUAAACGUCAAAAGUGAGAUAAAAUGUUUCUGUGUUCUAACUCUAGAGGGAAACUUGUCACUAUAAAGAUUGCAGAGUUACAUAAUGUCUUUACGCUAUAAAUUUUUCCUUCUAGUUAUCUGCACCCAUUGAACACAACAUUGACCAUUAACACUAAUAUGGGGAGAUAUACAAUAUCUACUCAUCUUACUUCUGAAUCCACUCCUUACUAAAUAUAGAAAUUUCAGAAGCAACUUUAACUUUUUGACCCAUCACAGUUAAUUAUUUCGUUCGUAAAUGUUUUUACUCUCCUUAUUUUUAUUGGAUGUCAAUUUUUUUUUUCCUUUAGCCUUUCGCUCCACAAUCAACUGAUUCAAAAGGAAAAGAAAAAAAAAAAAAGUAUUUGCCAAGUUAUUCACGAAUAAAAUAUCUCUUCAAGCAUGAAUAAAAUAUUUUUGCACACUUAUAUUCUUAAAGUAUUUGGCAAUUUCUCCUCUAUCAUUUUGCUACAUAAUAACACUGAACAAAAGAAUGCAUUCAUAUAGAAGAAGAAGGAUAUAAUUUUUACAAGAUUGUUUCCGACAUGCACACUAAUUCAUCUAUACAUGUUUAUAGAGUUACUUAACUUGAGAGAACUUCAAUUUUGUUUUACCAAUAUUACUAGAGAUAACUAGAAAAGACACUUACAAAACUAACAUCUUCAAAAUAUAUACAGUUUUAUUGGUGAAGGGCCUCUCUUAAGCCGUGGACAAAACCUCCAACUCUGCCCACCAAAGAGGUGACAAUUUCGGCGUAGCAUCAUUCGGUGAUAUUCCCGUGAUCUCCCGUAACCAUCCUGUGACUUCCCGCAUUGUAGGUCUCUCUUUCGGGUCGGUCCUGAGGCAUGAUUUGAUCACUUCACCUAUAUUCUCAAUCUUGUCAUCAUAAGAUUCCAGUGUUGGAUCUACCAUCUUGGCUAGAGUCUCUCCUCUUAAGAAAUCAACCAGCGCGCUAUCUACCGAGUCAGGUUUGUUAACCGAUUCUGGGAGUUUCCCGCUUAUCAUUUCGAAUAAUAGUAAACCGAAGCUGUAAACGUUUUCUUCUGGAUUCAAGACUGAGAUGUUUGUGUCUAUGACUGUGUCGUUGAUGCUAGUCUCUGUCUCAGAUGGACCGAAACUGAAAUCCGAUACUUUGACAGCAUAAUCCUCUGUGAGCUGAAGAGAUGACGAGACGAGAUUGGUGUGAGCUAUAGGUGGAUUGAGUUGGUGCAUAUGGUCAAGGCAAUAUGCUAAUCCCAUUGCAAUUCUUAACCGCAUUCCCCAAUCCAAGUGUUCUGAUUCUUUAACUGUAAUAAAAAAAAUAUGUUUUGAUUCCCUUUAGAUCACAAAGAAAACAAGCCAACAUGUGACAUUGUGUAGCUAGCUUAUGACAAAAGUACUCACAGUGUAAAUGCUCAAAGAGUGAUCCAUUUGGAGCAUACUCAAAGAUCAAGAUCCUAGUGAAAGGUUCCUUUUCUUCACAAUACCCAAGAAGGUUUGCAAAAUUCUUGUGGUUGAUCUUCGAUAACAUUUCGAUCUGAAAUUGUGAAACAGAACACGCUAAAGUCGACUAUAUAUUGUUAUUAUAAGAAAUCAAAAAUGGGAAGAACCAUACCUUCUUCCUAAAGUGAAUUUCUGUAUUGUCCUUCCAGUCUUUGGCAGAGGUAGUAGCAAAAGAAGCAACAGCAAUCUCCACUCCACUUGAUAAUGUUCCUUUGAACAAUUUCCCAAUGGGGCAAGAUCCAAUGACAUUACUAAAAUCUUCACAUGCAGCUUCAAUCUCAGAUCUUUUAAGUACAGGUAUACCUGAGUAUCAAAAAAUCAAACAUUGAUGAAACCAAAACAUAUUAUGCCAUGUAACAAUUUAAGAAAGAAAAUUACCAGUUACGAAUACUUUCUGAAGUUGUCCGCUAAGACCAGUACGCCAAGGAUUCACAGUUUUCCCGGCCUUACUAGUGAAACAGUAGACACCGGUAACUACAAGAAGAAGAAAAAAGGCACCGCCUACGCAGCCAAUCACUAAAGGAACGGCCACUGAAGAAGAAUGAGCGUUUCUUGGAGUGGGAGGAUUUACAAGUGACACAGAAGGAGAAGGUGAAACAUUUUGUGUAGAUGAUCUCAUUUGUGGCUCCGGAACUGUUGAAGAUCUAGUUGAAACAUGUUUAGGAGAAGGUUUUGGGGAUGAUGAUGGUGUUACAGUUGCAGCCACAACGCGGUUUCUGCGGUCUUUUCUCGAAGGCAAAUCUUUGUUAGGGUAACGGACAAGUGUUUUCCUGUGAAAUCCAAAAGCUUUCCUAACAAAAGGUAGAAAAAUAAAUUAUAGCCAUUGCAAAAGCAUGCUCUAAAAUAAAGAUCAAAAUACGGUAAGUUAUAUAUAGUUUACAAGCAUGAAUAAGUGUCGGUUACAAGUAACAACAGUUUCUUCUACCAUACAUAGAUAGAGAAAAUGAAGCUACGGAAUGGUUAGAGAAAUUUGUAGAUCUACCAACCC
rnacentral:lncRNA from 1 species